UUCACGCCUCGUGCUUUCUGAUGAAAGUAUUUUUUUUCUUUUCGGACAUCAUGACGCACAUUUUAGUGAAAUGAUUUUUAACGACGAUAAGUGGGACGUUUAUCUGUUGAAGUUGUUGGUUCACCCUGCUACUAGUCUUCGACUGAUGUGCGAGCCUGGUUGUUUUGAUGAGUGGCGCGGCAGAGGUCAUGGUGCCUGUUGGAGAGAAGGCACCUCGAAACAGUCGCAGCCGAACUUCUGCACAUAGCUUACGCAUGCAGCAAAUGCCCAGGUGCUAAAGUGUUCUACGUCAAGAGCACCUUGGCGUCGUGCAAGAGACACCCGUCGAUAUGUGGCUGAUUCACUAGCAAGCUCGCAUCUCUGUUGCCACUCUCCAUCAAGUGGGAUUUUCAACUAUUUUUUGUGCUGCGCUUUGGUGUACUAGCUGCUGCAUGGACGCUGUGAAGGCUUACUUUCGAUUUUCUCUGGCGUUUAGUAGUGGAGGAUGGGCUACCUUUUGAGGGGAGGCAUUUACUUUUGUUUGUGAGAAUGUUUACCAGCCUAACCAAGUGAUACGCGCGUACUGUAAACAGCAGCACGAAGAGAGGCGGACGACGGACGACGAAAUAGGUAGGAACACACACGAGCGCAAGCUCAACUAAAAGUCUACUUUUGAUGACAGAGGUAUUACACACACUGGUCAACUUGACAAAGGUAAAAAGCCGUGCAUGUGUGGCAGAAAUAGUCAUGUGCGACAAGAAAAAAAAUAUGAAAAGGCCAUGUCAUGUAGAAUAAACGUGCGUGAAAAACGAGAACUAUCGGACAAAUCUUUCGAAAAAGCAACAGAUCGUAGUUUUUAAACAUACUAAGCUCUACUUUUCGGUUCUCAUGACGCUGCUUUGUACUGUGCUGCAAUCUCCAGGCGCAGGAACGUUUUUAUGCGGUAAGUGCAUGUGUUCUUUUUGUAUAUAUUGGAGAAAAAAUUGUCGUGAGCUUAAAUAUGCAUGUAUAUCACUUGUAUUUUUUUUUCAACACGGGUGCUGUAUCUCCCUCCGUCUUUGUUACUGCUUUGUCCCAAUUUUUAUGAACUUUUAUGUAUUUUAUGCAAUAAAAUUCUGGUAGCAUUUUAAUAACAUUUUACCUGCGCAAUUGAGGUCAUUGGUGUUUCGUAUACGCAUUUAUUUGCGUAUUUCACUGUCUCACCAAUCUGGCUGUCCAGUCAUUUGAACCUUUUCUCAUCCUUUAUGACUAUUUCUGGGCUACUUGAUAGUGCAAGUGCAUGUGACCAUUUAUUUGGCUGUUUGGAAUUGUGUUAGCCGUGUGUUACUACCAAUUCUCUGUGCUAAAUAUUUUUUUCUCUUAUCGUUCAAGGUAUUAGCCUUAUCUCUUUAUUGACUGAGGUACCACUUAGUUGCUGGGUAUAGGGAAAAAGGUCCCAAAAAGUGCUUUAAUUAGCUUUGUGCAAGUCCAGAAAAAUUACCUGAAAAUGAGCUCCCUAAAUUGAGUAAAUGCCACCAACAAACUCUUCUGUACCCCAAAUUAACAUAAUCAAAUGGUGUACUGUUUGUUCUUGACUUGUGCCAGGGAGAUAAGCUGCAUUCAUUACACAAAAGUUUUACAAGCUUAUUUCUGAAGAAAGCAAACCUGGCUCUACAGAAACAUGAUUCAGGUGUUCACCAUGCCCGGCAACUUUCUCAAUGAUGUCUCGUCAAUUAAUAGCUAAGUUGAGUGAUGUUAUUUUAUAAAAUAAUUGGGCAACAUGAAAAUGUAUACAUCUCGAUGACAAAAAGCUCAGGCAAGUCUACUUUGGUACUUCAUUAAAUUUUAAUCGCGGUGAAAGACGUGUGCUAAAGCUCGUAAUAUUAACGUGAAGUCAUUUGUUUCAAGUCUGUUAUUUUUCCUUCUCACAGUCAGCCGUAGCACUUCCUGGGAUGUGUUAGUGUGGGAAACAUUUUAAUGUAACAGAUUCAGAUGUCUUGUGUAUUCACACGCAAGCAGCUUCAAGUGUUCAUGUGUUCAAAUUUCGUUAUUACAAGGGUAAACUUAAGCCCUGCCUUUUGAGUCGGUUUGCCUUCUAGUCAUAAACUUAAGUCGAAAGUGAAGACCACAAUGAUCGUUUUGAUUGAAUUCAUAUUAUAGGUUUUUUCUGAUGUAUUUACGCUGCUAGAGUGCUGUAGGUACUAGCCUAUGUCUCCAGGUUCGAUGUAGUGGUGCCUUAUGUACUGUAAUAAUGUUUCAUGUGCACGCAUCUUUAGUGUAAAUAAAGGUACUUCAAAUUGA